rnacentral:lncRNA from 1 species
UUUUUUUUAUGUUUAAUUUUUUCAUCAUCCUCUCCCAACUGGCCCAUAUCUCCCAGUUUUGCUGAAACUGGAGAGCUGCAUUAGAAUUGAGGAACUAAUGAAGUUUGCUCAGGACCAGUUUGGUGUGUGGUAGUCUGGGUCAUAAGCUGGUAGCAAUGGGACCUUGUGGCCAGCGUGGGACUGUUAAGAAGUGGGCGUUAGCUAAAUCUUUUUUUCUGCUUUAUUUCCUUAUCUUUCUAAUAGAAGCACAAAACAUCCCGGCAACUCUGUUCUUUGUGAGUGUAAGGUAACAAUCCUGCAAUUCAAACUCCCUGUUCCUCACUCGUGACCUGGAAUGUGUUUGCCUUCCUGCCAUAGCACCUGCAUGCACAGCCCAAGCACCAGGGGAGGACCAGAAAUACCCUCUCCAAACCUGCUCACCUCUAGGCAGGCUCCAGUGUUGGGUGUCUGUGCCAGAGCCCAACGGUGAGCCUGCAGCAGGGUUGGACUCUUAGCUUCCCUUGGCAGGUACCUCUGCUGCCUUGGGAGCGAGACUGAAGGAAAACAUAUGGCUAGUACAUCCCAAAUUCCAAAGCCAGACCACAGGGGGCAAAUACCUGGGUGACAGUACGAAAAACAGUGGCUCCUGGCUCUAGGCUCCAGUUGAGUUUGGAGCUCAGGAGGAGAUGGGAAUACCUGUUUGGGGUUUUUUCUUUUGUGUGGUUUUUGGGGUUUGGUUUUAGUUUGUUUGGGGCUUUUUUCAUUUUCAUUUUUAUUUUUCUUUUACAAAAAUAGAACAAAAGAGGAUGGUGUCUUGUGCAGGGCUUUAGUCAGUCAGCCCCAGCGAGUUUCAGACUGAGCAGAACUGGGACCCCUGGUGAAGGCAGGACUGUGUCCCUACAGAAGUUGUCAGGGAGGGGGGUGGAACCAAGACCAAUAUGCCAUAUGCCAGGUGCCUGCUCUGUGUGCAGAUAGCACACUAUGGACUGAAGUGAUGUGUAUCCCUGUUCAGGGGCGACCCGGCUCUUUUCUGCCUCUUUGUGUUCCCAGUAUGCUGCCAUGGACUAUGGACUGCUUUGUGAGGGGAACUUGAUGUUCUCAUCAAGUUGACUAAGCCCUCUCCCACCAGUGCUAAGCUGAUGUUCAGGGAUAUAUAUCCUUCUCCCAGGGGAGAUUAAAGACGGCACUAAUAAGGACCCCCAGCUUCAGAGAAAUAACCUACAUUAGCUCAAGAGUUCAAUUUGAAAAUGUGUUUUACUCUAUUUUAAUGGGAGUUGCUAUAGUAAAACAUGAAUUUAGAAUCUGAAAAUGGUCUCUAAUACUAAUUGCUUACGGUUAACCAAAAAUGAGUUUGUGACCAGAAAUUCCUCUAAGAUUUCUGAAACACAUGACUAGAAUGGGUCUAAUUUAGAUAUAACAUACAUUUGGCAUAAUCUUAUUAGUUUUGAGCAACUCCUGGCUUACACUUACUAUUAAUGAGUUGAGAGAGGGUGGAACCAAAUAAUCUUAAGAUGGAAAAUGAAUUUUUUAAAAAAUUACUCAAAGGUAUUACACCUAGAAAAGCAAUGGCACAGAAUAGCCUGAAAGUUUUAUUACCAGAUGAAGAGGUGAUAUGUACCAUGCAGCAAUAUGGGAUUUAUGGUACUUCUUUCUCUGGGGAAAAGUGCUCUAGUCAGACCAGUCAUGAAGCUGUGCCGCUUCUUGAAAUUGCAGGGCAUUAAGAUCAUUCUUAUUGCUUUGUGGUGUGAAGCAACCC